CCAAUGGUACGAUGGGUAGCUGGUCUGACAGGACGAUCAGCCACGCUGUGACUGAGACACUGCCCAGACUCCUACGGGAGGCAGCAGUGGGGAAUCUUGCGCAAUGGGCGAAAGCCUGACGCAUCCACGCCGUGUGAGUGAUGAAGGCCCUAGGGUUGUAAAGCUCUGUCGGGAGGGAAGAAGCUCUGACGGUACCUCCCAAGAAAGCACCGGCUAUCUCCGUGCCAGCAGCCGGUGUAAUACGGAGGGUGCAAGCGUAGCUCGGAAUCACUGGGCGUAAAGCGGACGCAGGCGGCCUGUCAUGUCGGGUGUGAAAGCCCGGGGCUCAACCCCGGAAAUGCACUCGAAACCGGCGGUCACGAAUACGGGAGAGGGAAGCGGAAUUCCUGGUGUAGAGGUGAAAUUCGUAGAUAUCAGGAGGAACACCGGUGGCGAAAGCGGCUUCCUGGCCCGAUAUUGACGCUGAGGUCCGAAAGCGUGGGUAGCAAACAGGAUUAGAUACCCUGGUAGUCCACGCCGUAAACGAUGAGUGCUAGCUGGUGGGUGUGUCUACCCGCUUACCGGCGCAGUUAACGCAUUAAGCACUCCGCCUGGGAAGUACGGCCGCAAGGCUCAAACUCAAAGGAAUUGACGGGGGCCAGCACAAGCGGUGGAGCAUGUGGUUUAAUUCGAUGCAAAGCGAAGAACCUUACCCAGGCUUGACAUCCUCGGAAGCCUUCCGAAAGGAGGGUGUGCCUUCGCAAGAAGGAGCCGAGUGACAGGUGCUGCAUGGCUGUCGUCAGCUCGUGCCGUGAGGUGUUCGGUUAAGUCCGGCAACGAGCGCAACCCCUGUCGUCAGUUGCCAUCAUUCAAUUGGGCACUCUGGCGAGACAGCCGCGUGACAAACCGGCGAGGAAGGUGGGGACGACGUCAAGUCAUCAUGGCCCUUACGUCUGGGGCUACACACGUGCUACAAUGGCUAUCUACAGAGGGCAGCGAGACCGCAAGGUGGAGCAAAUCCCACAAAAGAUGCCUCAGUUCGGAUUGGAGUCUGCA
rnacentral:rRNA from 1 species